AUGGCGUUGCCUGCUCGGCGGGCUGCUGCAGGCUGCGGCUUGCCCAUCCGGGUGGUGAGUCGGCGCCUGGUCAGGGCCUCCGACCCCUCCAUCCGGCCACACGUGCUCGCCGUCUCCCACCUCGAUCUCUACGCCAACACCGAACAGUGCGCCCUGACAUGCGUCUACCCCAAGCCCCCCACCGGCGCCGGCGACUUCGACGCCGUUGUCGCCGCCUUCGAGGCCCACAUGCCGGCAUACCUCAACUACUUCUUCCCUAUGGCUGGCCGCAUCGUGGUCGACCCCAGCUCUGGCAUCCCCGAGCUCCACUGCUACAAUCAAGGAGCGGAGCUCAUCGUGGCACAUGCCGGCGUGGAGCUGUCGGCCCUGGACUGGAGCCUAUCGGGGGAGUCCCUGAAGAGGAUCCACGUGCCGUACGCCCAGGACAUGGUCCUGUCGGUGCAGCUGCUGUCCUUCGCCUGCGGCGGCUUCGCCGUGGUCUGGGCCGCCAAUAACCUGGUCGGCGACGGGAACGUCGGCGUCAUGCUCGUGAGGAUGUGGACCGAGCUGGUCCGGACCGGGACUAUCUCCGGCGGAGGCCCCAACCAUGACCGCUCGGUGCUCAGGCAGUUCAGCCGCCCCCGCGACCCGCCGACGUACGGCGCCUCGGUUGCAGCCAUGUACACGCGGUGGGAGCACGAGCAGGAGGUGAACGCGCUGACAGCCGAGGAGAGCUUCAUCGAGCGCCUCUACUACGUCGACGAGCGCGACAUCGCCCGGCUGCGUGGGGAGGCGAGCGCCGAGGGCCGCCAGCGUGCGACGCGCGUGCAGGCCGUGUCCGCGUACCUGUGGAAGGUCCUCGCGGGGAUCGUGGCCACGUCGAAGCUGCUGGGCGAGGACGAGAAGCGCUGCCGCCUGCUGUGGUGGGUGGACGGGCGGCGGCGGUUCUCGUCGCCCGAGCUCCGGUCCUCGCUGCGCAACUACGCCGGCAACGUCACGUCCUACGUGGUGGCGGCUGCGGCCGCGGCCACGGUGUUGAGCAAGCCUCUGGCGGGCGUGGCGGCCAUGGUGCGUGAGGCCGUCACGCUCACGCCGGCGGACUACGACGAGCUGUACCAGCAGAUGGUGGAUUGGAUGGAGGUGCACAAGCCCACGAACUUCGUCGAGACGCCCGCCAUCGGGCUCGGCAGCCCCACGCUGGCCCAGACCAUGUGGUCCUCCUUCCCGAACGACACUGACUUCGGUUUCGGCGAGGCCGCCUUGGCCAUGCCGGUGCACCAGAACCUCGGCAGGCUGUGCAUGGGCCUGAUCUGCAUCACCCCCAAGCCAGCAGAUCCCGGGACGUGGAUCGUCAGCGCCUUCAUAUGGCCGCGUCUCGCGGCGGUGCUCGAGUCAGACGAGCAGCGCAUCUUCAAGCCUCUCACAGCAGAGUUCCUUGGUCUCACCCGUGGACAUGGGCUCAGACCUCGUCUUUGA
rnacentral:rRNA from 1 species